GGGCAGGUAGCUGCGAGGGCAGAGGUAGGGAGAAGGGAGGCCACAUACAAGUCUGGAGACACUGGGAGGGGGCUGGGUGGCAGGUGUGUUGGGAUUGUCUGCUCUUCUUGGGUUUCCUGACUCGGAGGUCUGAUGCCCACAGUCG
ensembl:miRNA